GCACAACGCGAAGAACCUUACCUAGGCUUGACAUGCACUGUGUCUACGGUGAAAGCCGUAUAGUGUAGCAAUACACGCUUUGCACAGGUGCUGCAUGGCUGUCGUCAGCUCGUGUCGUGAGAUGUUGGGUUAAGUCCCGCAACGAGCGCAACCCCGUGUGAUUUGUUGCCACCGGAGCAAUCCGAGCACUCGAAUCAGACUGCCCAGAUCAACUGGGAGGAAGGUGGGGAUGACGUCAAGUCCGUAUGGCCCUUACGCCUAGGGCUGCACACGUACUACAAUGCCCAGUACAAUGUGAACCGAGACCGCGAGGUGGAGGAAACUCAAUAAAACCUGGGCCCAGUUCAGAUUGUAGGCUGCAACUCGCCUACAUGAAGUCGGAAUCGCUAGUAAUGGCGCAUCAGCAACGGCGCCGUGAAUACGUUCCCGGGG
rnacentral:rRNA from 1 species